UNUGACUUGAGUGCAGAAGGGGAGAGUGGAAUUCCAUGUGUAGCGGUGAAAUGCGUAGAUAUAUGGAGGAACACCAGUGGCGAAAGCGGCUCUCUGGUCUGUCACUGACGCUGAGGCUCGAAAGCGUGGGUAGCGAACAGGAUUAGAUACCCUGGUAGUNCACGCCGUAAACGAUGAGUGCUAGGUGUUAGGCCCUUUCCGGGGCUUAGUGCCGGAGCUAACGCAAUAAGCACUCCGCCUGGGGAGUACGAUCGCAAGGUUGAAACUCAAAGGAAUUGACGGGGGCCCGCACAAGCGGUGGAGCAUGUGGUUUAAUUCGAAGCAACGCGAAGAACCUUACCAGGUCUUGACAUCCCGAUGCUAUUCUUAGAGAUAGGAAGUUACUUCGGUACAUCGGAGACAGGUGGUGCAUGGUUGUCGUCAGCUCGUGUCGUGAGAUGUUGGGUUAAGUCCCGCAACGAGCGCAACCCUUAUUGUUAGUUGCCAUCAUUAAGUUGGGCACUCUAGCGAGACUGCCGGUAAUAAACCGGAGGAAGGUGGGGAUGACGUCAAAUCAUCAUGCCCCUUAUGACCUGGGCUACACACGUGCUACAAUGGUCGGUACAACGAGUUGCGAGCCGGUGACGGCAAGCUAAUCUCUGAAAGCCGAUCUCAGUUCGGAUUGGAGGCUGCAACUCGCCUCCAUGAAGUCGGAAUCGCUAGUAAUCGCGGAUCAGCACGCCGCGGUGAAUACGUUCCCGGGCCUUGUACACACCGCCCGUCACACACGAGAGUUUGUAACACCCGAAGUCGGUGAGGUANCCUUUUAGGG
rnacentral:rRNA from 1 species